CUGCACUCAACCGAGAACAAAACCCAUAGACUUCAUCCCCUACACGGUAGACACGCCACUUUUGGAUUAGUGGAUAGGGACGGGCAGGAGCUCGGGGUACAGGGGAAGGGAAGGGAAGGCACACGUGGCGGCGGAGAGGAGCGGGGGAGGGUACGAGAGGUCAGAGGUGGUGGUGCGGCGGGGAACGAAGCGAAGAUAGGAGGAGAGCUAGGCCGCGGGUACGUGCGUCACCAAUGCCUACCCUCUCGUACCCUCCCGUCCCGGUGUGUCGCACCCACACAUCCUCGUCCUUCUCCACUCCUCCUACUGUCGCACCCCUUUUCCUUCGGUCUAGCUUCAAGAGCCGUCGCGAGCGCAGCGGGACGUCAGCUCCCUGCAGCGUUUGUUCGCUCCUCCUCCUGUUGCGGACCUAAGUCGGGGCCGGGCCCGGGCCCGGAGCACCUAGACCGCUACCAUAGCACUCUCCGAACCCGGAGGAAGGGCCUGUUCCGCCACGACGAGCACGAUCCGCUGCCAAGUUCCCAUCCCAUCGUCAUGAGAGAACCAACAUCGACCCGGAAGUUGGCCGGUCUGUACCUCGAGGUCGUACGUGCACACGGAUGGGAGGAACGGGUACUCAUGGACGUUGUUGUCGUCUAUGGCCAGUCUAUUUAUGAUGUGUUUAGUACACGUACCGGAUCGUCCACUAUUACCGCGGCGCUCCUAAGCGACGGCACUCCUCCUGGGGCUGGGCAUACUACCGGUGGCCUUCCAGUGUGUGAAGAAACCGAGCGAGUCUGACCGAGGUAACUGUCGAAGAGAUUCCAUAUAAACAACCCAAGGAGAACCGCACAACUUGUUUUUAACCGCAAGUCGUGACGAUAAAUUUCUACCAAACUAGUCAUCAUCCCUUUUGGGUAUCUACCUUCCUUUAAUAACAUCCAUAGAUUCUUACGACUACUCAUGUUAGUCUCGUUCGGAGUCGAACAUGAUAUAGAUACCCGAAUACGUUGACGCCGGAUACGUCCACUUGUUAUGUUUCGACUAUGUUCCUACCCUGGUUUGUAAGGACCCGUUAUAGUUAUCCAGGUGCUGUUUUAGAGAUAAUCCACGAAGAUAAGGAAAUGGGUACAGAGAAAACCACGAAGAUAAGGAAAUGGGGACAGAGAAAACAGAGAAAACUAAAACUAAAGGAUUACAUACCAAAUAGACUGAUGUUACAUGAUCCAGACUCUUUCUUCUGUUUAUCCUCCCAAAAAACGCCCACUCUUUGUCCCCUUACGCUACCUUCUUAGAGUUUAAAUAGGAAUGUAAAACUACAAAAUAUUUAUUUGUUGUUUGUUAUAAAUGAGGUAUACAGCGGACAAAUAAAUAAAUAAAUAAAUAAAUAAAUACCUGUUUCUCUCAUGAACUUAAUUCCAUUUAGUGAUAACCGAGUAUGUAAUGUGAUGAUAAUAGUAUUAGUUAAACACACAUACAACUUAUUUGCUCCUUACAUCUUCAAUUAGUUAACCCGUGUAUAUAGCUACGAUAAUCAUUUUACGUAAAAAUUCAAUAUGCGUCUCAAUAAAAAACGACCUCUAGUAGCCGCUACCCAAUGAUGAGGGAGAUAAAGUUAAAUGUUCAGCACGCGCAUAUGGAUCCAACGGUUAAAAUAGUCGGAUUAUAUUUGAUAUAUUGUAUUUUUAAUAUGCCAAACUUUUAUUUUGUAGACUUAAAUAUAACCAUAUAAAAAAACAUUAUAUACUAAACAUAAUCCAACCAGUUUAACUGUUUUAACUGUUGGAUCCCCAUGCACACAUCAAAUUAAAACAAACUCUCGUAGUGUUUUGUGUGUUUACAGAAGUCAAACGGAAACACAUACACUAAUACAAGAAGAUAAAUAUAAUUAUUCAAGUGAUCCUUUGUAUAUAACUAUAAAUAUACGUUUAUAUAUUACUAAGAUUAUGAACUAAACGAAACCAAUAAACGCAGUGUCUUCAUUGCUCAGUACUGGUGAGAAUUGAACGUACUAAGGUUAUGUACCAAACGAGAACAAAAAACGCGGUAACCGCGUUGCCCAGUAGAUCAUAACUCUUUUGGACUUCCUCGAUGGGCUUUGUCAAAAAGGUGGCAGUGUUCGAAGGUAAGAAGGUACUAGGGUAGACCUCCGUAAAAAACCAUGACACGGUCUCCCCCUUAGCUAGUGUCUCCGAAGAUGUAGUUUACUACACACUCAUCAAGUAGUGUCUGAAUGCCCAGGUAUCGAUCAUCGAUCUACUGAAAAAGAGAGAGAAACUAGAAGUUAUGUUACCAGAGGAGCUAGAAGAACCUCAAGAUAGGCUACAUCAGAAGAAAACGACACACAAACAACCCUAUUCUAUUUAACACCCAAAUACUAAUCUAAUAAGUAACUUUCAUUAAUUGAGAAAAAACUUGAAAUAAUACGUACUAAUACUAUCGAAAAAUAAAGAGAGACUAGAUAGGUAAAUCAAACCGGUUAAUCUAACUAAACAGAAGUCCACCCCUCCACGAAACAUUAGCCAAGUUAGAACGCCACAGGAGUGGAGUACUGUCUUCCCCAUCGAUCCGUGCAUAGACAUAACAACGGUAAUUACCAUUUUACUCCCCAAGUAAGUAUAAAAAACUCAAAUGAAACAGAUGUAGUACAGUAGAAGGAAUUCCGCUAUGAGAUAAACAGUACUUGAAUUAUGGUAUCUACGUAAGACCUAUCGCCAGCUAACCACCUCAUUAUCAUCAUCUACGUCCGUACUCAGUCAGAUGAACAGUGGCUGCACUACGGAUAUACACACUAGUAACGUUACUUAUUGCAGUAUUGAUACACUAGAAGAUAGUUAACGGGUUGUCAUUAAACAGAUGGGUG
rnacentral:rRNA from 1 species